rnacentral:rRNA from 1 species
AGGAUGAACGCUGGCGGCGUGCCUAACACAUGCAAGUCGAACGUCCUGUCUCGCAAGAGGCAGGGAGUGGCGGACGGGUGAGUACCACGUGGGUCAUCUACCGUGAGGUGAGGAAUACCGGCGAGAAAUCGCCGACAAGACCGCAUAGCCUCGGUGCAAGCCGAGGAAAGCUCUCUCGAGAGAGGGAGCGCCACACGAGGAGCCUGCGCCCGAUUAGCUAGCUGGUGGAGUAACGGUUCACCAGGGCGACGAUCGGUAGCUGGUCUGAGAGGACGAUCAGCCACACUGGGAUUGAGAACGGCCCAGACUCCUACGGGGGGCAGCAGUGAGGAAUUUUCGUCAAUGGGGGCAACCCUGAACGAGCAACGCCGCGUGCAGGAAGAAGGUUUUCGGAUCGUAAACUGCUUUUCGUCGGGAAGAGAACGGACGGUACCCGAGGAAUCAGCCCCGGCUAACUACGUGCCAGCAGCCGCGGU